rnacentral:lncRNA from 1 species
CAGGACAUUAUUAUUAGAGGACUUAUACAAUAACUUUCAAUAUUAAUUCGUCACAAUCUCAUUAUUUAUAAUACAAUAUAUAUCGUCUAACACAAUUCAAUACAUAGUACUCAAGUUGUAACAUAUUAUAGAACUUUAACAGUAUACAAUAUUAAUUAUUCUCAUAAAGUCCUAUCAACCUUAUCACUAUCCAAUAGUAAAAUGAAAAUAAAUCAUGUUUAUUCAAUUCCAAAUAAUACACAUAUUUGUAAUAUUUCCUAUAAUUUACAAAACAAUCACACACGAUAAUUAUAGGCCCGUCGUCAGCCGACACAUCUCAACGUCAACAAUGACCGGGGGAGACGCGAGUGGAAAACAAUUCCCCCGUUGGAUGUCCCAAGGUCGGCCCGUCUGUCGUUCUCUCGUACCGAUAACUUCAACGACGCAAACAAGAAGAAACAAUUUCAAUGAUGCAAUUAAGCAGAGAAGAAAUAUCGAAUCGGAAAUAAAAGAAUGAGCUUCAUUAAAAGCAAACAUAAUAGAAAACAACACCAAUCGACCAUAUCCAAAUCCACGAAUACAUCAAGAAACCUUAGCAAUAUUAUUUCAUUACCUCUGUUAGACAUUGACCAUUAUUUUGCGCAUUUUUCUAGCGAUAUAGGCUUAAUAUACCUCAUCAAGGCUAACGAAUGUGGUAAUGAACUGAUCUACAAUCAUUUUAGUCAUUAUUCUGGAUGAUUUAAUUCCGCUUUCCGCAAUUUAAAUAAAAUGGCUAUAAUUAAUUGAAUAAAAAUGUCUAUUUUAUUCUCCAUUAUAACGCAAUUGUCUCCCAAGAAAUUAAUUCCUGAUCAUCCGAAUAGACAUUUAAAAAGGAGUAAAGAAAUAUGUAGAUAGAGCAGAUGACUCUUAUCCAUGGGAACAUAAAUAACUAAUCGCCUAUCUCUAAAAGAUCUCUCAUUGGAGGACUUUUACCUUCUACUGAGAGGGUAGUAGGCCUAUUCUGUCCCCGGACCUAC